AAACCACAAGGAUGGAAAGGGGAAUGUAAAAAGGGAGAGCUGCCUGUGGUGAAAGAUGAAGUGAUUAAGAAGCCUUCUCCACAGACGUGGCAGCACAGAGUUGAGACUACUCCUGAUCAGCCUAAGGAAACAAAUCCAGGAACGCACUGGAUAGAUUAUGAUGUUUGAAUAGAAGAAACAGCAUCUAUCUGCUGGCCCACUGUAAAAGAGGCUGGUGAGACUAACCUUACAACGAAGAGGGUGACAGACUUUUCAGGCAGAAAAGAAGACAGUUUCCUUCAACCACAGAAGUGCUUGCAUAAGAGCCUUAGACAAAAUGCAGAAGAAUGCAGAAGAACUACAGUCAUUGGAAGUAACUUUUCUUUCUCCUUCACUACUCAUCUAAAUGCAUUCACACUGUGGGUGCUCAAAUCUACUUGAUAUACUUACUAAUUACCUGAAGUUCUGCAGCAGAAAGGAGACCUUUGACAAUAGAGCAGCCCAUGGAAAGACAAAACUGACAAAGAAAGAUGAAAGGAAAAAGAAUCCAGUGAAGUGUAACUUUGCAACACGUCCUUUCCCUGGGAAGAUGAGAAGCUGCGUUUCAGCCUUUGUUUGCUUACCAAGUGCCUGCUCAUUGACUAACAGGAACAUGUGCACAGUAGGUGCCCAACCCCAGAAGUGCCACAGCGUGUGCAGUGCAGAAGAGGUGAUGAGGUUCUUCUUCUCCUUCGUCUGGGUGCUUCAAACAGUGGAGCUAAUUCAGCACAGACAGAGCAGCUGAACAUGACAUCCCUAAUGCACUGUGGCCUAGCAGGUUAAUAGUACAACAAAACUACAUUAUUUGUCCACCCACUUUUCCUGCACAUUAAAUGGGGAGAUAAUGAGUAAUUAGUUGUGGUCUGUUUGGAAAAAUGAGCUGUUUGUUCAGCAUUUUGAAAUCAUAAAUCAAUAUAUACUGCAAAUGUGAUGUGCUGCCUACAACUUCAUUCAACAGAGAGCAGCAUUGGACAGGAAAAAAUGUUGUCUCUCCAUGGCUCUUAAUGCUGCCCUCUGCAGAACCUGGUAUUGGGGGUGACUUCCGAGAAUUUGUUUUGAGAACAAAUGUGAUGGAAGAAGGCUUAUUCACCACCUUCUAUGGGCAAAGUGAGCAAAACCUAAUGAAACAAGAGGGAAAUAAAAAUGGUGAUCGCCUGGAUCAGUUUGACUUCCAUGGAGAUGACUAUUCAGUUAGCAAUCUGGUGACGCAAGUAUUUCCUUUGGCACUCCAAGGUUCUCUCCAGGCAUGUCAAACAGUAUUUUCAGACAAGCCUUUUAAACAAAUUUUGUCUCUUUAUGGGGCUCUUUCUUGGGGUUUCUUCAAAUACUGGCUUUAGAAUCCAAGGAAUUUUUGGAAGAAAUCCACUUCUCUAGCUGACACUGUUGAACCAAAUAAGCCCAUGCAUUCCCUGAGGUAGGUUACAGCAGCUUUCAGGGCUCCCUGAUUCAGUAGUUUCCUUCAGCCUUUUGAGAGGUACAGCAUUUCUGAGCUCUGUUCAGCCCUGCCAGUACUCUGUAUUUCUGGUGGUCUCCUUCACCACUCCAGGGAUCUUCCCAGGGGUACUUUGAAAACAGGGAAGAUUUACCACUCAUAGGACUGCAGCUGGUAUCAAGAGGCUGCAGGGAAAAAAAAGAAAAAAAAAAAAAGACAAAUAAUGUUCCCUGCAUUCACAUUUUGCCAGCACUGUUUAACUGUUUAUACAGAUGUAAAUAGUUCUACUCAAUAACUGACAAGUCCUAACAAAUCUAUGUAUCAGUAUUUCUGAGAUAUAGUCACAAGAAGCUGUAAUUAGGUUUCAAUUUUCAGGAUUUACUCUGACUUUUUAUUUUCUGCUUAAAAUGUAAGCAUAACACUCCAACUUAAGGGGUUAAAGCAGUCUUUAUAGUGAAUGUAGAGCAUAUACUGAUCUGUGUGAUUUUGUAAUUGUAAUUUUGAAUACAAUAAUGUUACCUUUUUUUUUCCUUUGGCUUGCAAUAGUGUAUGUGCUUGGAGGGAGGGUGACCAAGAUGGAAAUUCACUUAUAUGCAGUGCACCACACCUUGCCCAAAAUACAUGGAUGACUGUUACAAUAUCGUAGUUAUCCAUAACCGAGAAAGAAAGAGGGAGAGAGUGUUUUUUUGUUUGUUUGUUUUGUUUUGUUUUGUUUUGUUUUAAAUCAAGGUCAGGCAUUUUUAUUUUCAAAAAUUCCUUGUGAGUUCAGAAGACACAUUUUUAUUUAUAGUACGUUUUAGCUUUGUCUUCUACACCAUGUGACCUACACUAAGGAGACACCAGCAAGCUUCACAGCAAAAUGGAAGGGAUAAAAAGAGGCUGGUUAUGCAGGAACAGCUGCUUGUUUUCAGCAGCAUCACUUGAGAGUUUUUCACAUUCUCCUUCUCCGCCUCUCCCCAAAUGUUCAGCCUGCUGUGUGCAAGCUGGGUGUUUACAGUUCAGGACUAUGGAGGAGGAGGAAAUAUUUUGCCUAUUGUUCAGUGACGUCAAUGGCUUCGCUCCCAGUCACUUGAGGGACGCUGGUGCUUAGCAAAUGUCAGUACACUGCUGCUACUGCAUGUGCCUUACAGCUUGCUUGCAGGAAUUUAAGGUCUCUCCUCCAAGAUAGAUCCAGUUGGUGGAUGAGGCAGGUGUGAAGGGCAAACAGUGAUAGCCACUGAAAGCUCUUUCUGCUGCUUUUUGCAUGGGAAAGCACUAGGUGACAGUUUUUAUUGUGGCAUUAAUAUAGAAUAUUUAUUAACAUUAAAUGCUGCAUUUAGUGUGAAAACUGUCUUUUAUCCUGCACCAAGUCCUUCCCUCUAAUAAUCUUUCUCUGUUUUAAAUCAAGGUUCUAAAAAUAGCACAAAAGACAUUGAGAAUUUUAUAAAUCAUCAAGAUAAAUAGUUAUCUCAAUGUCUGACUGUAUUCAGAACUUUUCUGAUGUGUUCUCAUCAUGUAUUUUGUUACCAGAUGUUGAUAACUGAACUGAAAAUGUAUGUUGCUUGAGAUUUUUUAAGCUUGGAGCCAAUUUUUUAAUGCAGGAUUUCUGAGAGUGAAAUAUAGCUACAGCUGAUGUUCUUAAAGGGACUGCUAUUGGAAAGCCUCUCUUACACCACUUAUUUUGCAUUAAAACCCAUUUG